rnacentral:rRNA from 1 species
CCUGGCCUUGACAUACUAAGAACUUUCCAGAGAUGGAUUGGUGCCUUCGGGAACUUAGAUACAGGUGCUGCAUGGCUGUCGUCAGCUCGUGUCGUGAGAUGUUGGGUUAAGUCCCGCAACGAGCGCAACCCUUUUCCUUAUUGCCAGCGGGUUAAGCCGGGAACUUUAAGGAUACUGCCAGUGACAAACUGGAGGAAGGCGGGGACGACGUCAAGUCAUCAUGGCCCUUACGGCCAGGGCUACACACGUGCUACAAUGGUCGGUACAAAGGGUUGCUACCUCGCGAGAGGAUGCUAAUCUCAAAAAGCCGAUCGUAGUCCGGAUCGCAGUCUGCAACUCGACUGCGUGAAGUCGGAAUCGCUAGUAAUCGCGGAUCAGAAUGCCGCGGUGAAUACGUUCCCGGGCCUUGUACACACCGCCCGUCACACCAUGGGAGUUUGUUGCACCAGAAGUAGGUAGUCUAACCGCAAGGAGGACGCUUACCACGGUGUGGCCGAUGACUGGGGUGAAGUCGUAACAAGGUAGGCGUAGAUGA